UGGGGAAUAUUGGGCAAUGGGGGAAACCCUGACCCAGCAACGCCGCGUGAGGGAAGAAGGUUUUCGGAUUGUAAACCUCUGUCCUAAAGGACGAAAAAAAUGACGGUACUUUAGGAGGAAGCCCCGGCUAACUACGUGCCAGCAGCCGCGGUAAUACGUAGGGGGCGAGCGUUGUCCGGAAUUAUUGGGCGUAAAGGGUGCGUAGGCGGCCAAAUAAGUCAGAUGUGAAAUACCGGGGCUUAACUCCGGGGCUGCAUUUGAAACUAUAUGGCUGGAGUGCAGGAGAGGGAAGCGGAAUUCCUAGUGUAGCGGUGAAAUGCACAGAUAUUAGGAGGAACACCAGUGGCGAAGGCGGCUUUCUGGACUGUAACUGACGCUGAGGCACGAAAGCGUGGGGAGCAAACAGG
rnacentral:rRNA from 2 species